rnacentral:rRNA from 1 species
AUUGAACGCUGGCGGCAGGCUUAACACAUGCAAGUCGAGCGGAGAUGAGGUGCUUGCACCUUAUCUUAGCGGCGGACGGGUGAGUAAUGCUUAGGAAUCUGCCUAUUAGUGGGGGACAACAUUCCGAAAGGAAUGCUAAUACCGCAUACGUCCUACGGGAGAAAGCAGGGGAUCUUCGGACCUUGCGCUAAUAGAUGAGCCUAAGUCGGAUCAGCUAGUUGGUGGGGUAAAGGCCUACCAAGGCGACGAACUGUAGCGGGUCUGAGAGGAUGAUCCGCCACACUGGGACUGAGACACGGCCCAGACUCCUACGGGAGGCAGCAGUGGGGAAUAUUGGACAAUGGGGGGAACCCUGAUCCAGCCAUGCCGCGUGUGUGAAGAAGGCCUUAUGGUUGUAAAGCACUUUAAGCGAGGAGGAGGCUACUGAGACUAAUACUCUUGGAUAGUGGACGUUACUCGCAGAAUAAGCACCGGCUAACUCUGUGCCAGCAGCCGCGGUAAAAC